CUUACCGGGCCAACAGGGCGCCUGAUGGGUAGGUGGAGAUAGUGUGUUACCGGGAGGGUGAGCAUGACUGGUGUCACCGAUUCCAUCACACCACAAGCAAUAGUAUUUUCACUGGUGGUUGAGAUCCAAACGUACCAUGAUCCAUAUUUUGCUCGUCAGGCAGCUCGAUCCUAAAGAGUAAAGACAGGGAAUGUUUGGUCACUUUCACUACAGAGUUCAUCAAGGAGCAUCAGAAAGUCCAGUUCAAUGAACUCAUUCUGAGGCGCAAGACUUUAGAUCACUCACCUGGACAAAGGUUAAGAAGCUGGCAUUAUCUUUCAAACAAAACAAAGCGCCAUUUGAGGCAUUCCUCUAAAAGUGUAACUCACCGUUUCCGACAACAUCCAUCAUCUGUAGGAGAAACAAAUAAGUUUACUGCACAUCAAAAGGAAGUUUCAUAGGAUGACUUUUAUUGUGGUUUGAUUAACCCGGUUUAGAAAACACUACAGUGCAGUAUCAAAGUGAGCUAGAAGUAUCAUUGAAGCAGCAUUUAACUGGCAUGUUGUGAUGGGAAGCAUCCACUGUCAACACAAUCUGGACUUACAGGAUUGCUUCUUGGUGACAUCCUUUUUCAAACACUGGUUGACACCAACCUACAGGAAAAAGAAAAUCCAGUUCUAUAAAUCCCAUUAAUAAAAAUGACAGCAAUUUAUUUAAAUAAAGGCAAUCAGAUAGAAGGCUGACAUCACAGAAAUCAGGCAUAUGCUUGUCAAUAAGUAUACUCAUCAUGUUUAACCCCAAACCAGUGUGUGAAUGAAUGAACGAGGGUUUACUCACCAUUGUGUUCUUCAUUGGAAGAGUUCAUUAUGGGAACAUUGCAGGACCACCUGAAGAGACAUCCCAGUUAGCCAUAAACUGAGACCUA
ensembl:lncRNA